rnacentral:rRNA from 1 species
GUCCUCAUUGAUUGUUAGUGUGAGGUCUGGCCUGCCCACUGAUUUAUUUAAAGGGCCGCGGUAUAUUAACCGUGCGAAGGUAGCAUAGUCAAUAGUCUUUUAAUUGGAGGCUUGAAUGAACGGUUGGACAUAGGGAAAGCUGUCUAUAAUCAAGGUUUAUGAAUUUAACUUUUGUGUGAAAAGGCAUUAAUAUUUUAAUGGGACGAUAAGACCCUAUAAAACUUGACACUUAAGGAAUUUGGUUCCUAGAAGUUAAGUAUAAUUGAGGUGUUGAAUAGUGUGUUGUGCUGGGGCGGCUGGAAUAUAAUUUGUAACUGUUCUUCAUAUGGAAUAAUGAUUAUUAGACUUUGAUCCUGAAUUUUGGAUUAUAAGAUUAAGUUACUUUAGGGAUAACAGCGUUAUUUCUCUUGAGAGUUCAUAUCGACAGGGAUAUUUGCGACCUCGAUGUUGAAUUAAAGUUUUCUUCGGGAGUAGAAGUUCGAAGGAUAGGUCUGUUCGACCUUUAAAACUUUACAUGAUUUGAGUUCAAACCGGUGUGAG